GUCAACGGCCAUACCACCCUGAAUGCACCCAAUCUCAUCUGAUCUAGGAGGCUAAGCAGGGUCGGGCCUGGUUAGCACUUGGAUGGGAGACAAGAAAAGAAAAAAUAAAAAAGCUUAUCUGGUAUUACAGGUA
rfam:Cricetulus griseus cell line CHO-K1, whole genome shotgun sequence.